GUGAGGAAUAUUGCGAAUGGAGGCAACUCUGACGCAGCCAUGCCGCGUGCAGGAAGAAGGCGCUACGCGUUGUAAACUGCUUUUAACCGGGAAGAAACCCCAGGACGUGUCCUGGGUUGACGGUACCGGAGGAAUAAGCACCGGCUAACUUCGUGCCAGCAGCCGCGGUAAUACGAAGGGUGCAAGCGUUAUCCGGAUUCAUUGGGUUUAAAGGGUGCGUAGGCGGAGCGUUAAGUCAGUGGUGAAAUCCUGCAGCUUAACUGUAGACUUGCCAUUGAUACUGGCGCUCUUGAGUGCGCUUGAAGUGGGCGGAAUGUGCCGUGUAGCGGUGAAAUGCUUAGAUAUGGCACAGAACACCAAUUGCGAAGGCAGCUCACUAAGGCGAUACUGACGCUGAGGCACGAAAGCGUGGGGAUCGAACAGGAUUAGAAACCCGUGUAGUCC
rnacentral:rRNA from 1 species